UGAGGGGUCGUCUAAAGGUAGGACGGCAGGUUCUGGCCCUGGAAAUCGAGGUUCGAGUCCUUGCCCCUCAGCCA
rnacentral:tRNA from 2 species